AACGAACGCUGGCGGCAGGCCUAACACAUGCAAGUCGAACGUGAAGCCACCUUCGGGUGGUGGAGAGUGGCAGACGGGUGAGUAACGCGUGGGAACGUGCCUUUCGGUUCGGGAUAACCCAGGGAAACUUGGGCUAAUACCGGAUACGCCCUCCGGAGGAAAGAUUCAUUGCCGAAAGAUCGGCCCGCGUCGGAUUAGCUAGUUGGUGGGGUAAAAGCCUACCAAGGCGACGAUCCGUAGCUGGUCUGAGAGGAUGACCAGCCACACUGGGACUGAGACACGGCCCAGACUCCUACGGGAGGCAGCAGUGGGGAAUAUUGGACAAUGGGCGCAAGCCUGAUCCAGCCAUGCCGCGUGGGUGAAGAAGGCCCUAGGGUUGUAAACCCCUUUCAGCGGGGAAGAUAAUGACGGUACCCGCAGAAGAAGCCCCGGCUAACUCCGUGCCAGCCGCCGCCGUAACAC
rnacentral:rRNA from 1 species